UGGGCUCUUAGAAGAAGGAGAAGUCGUAACAAGGUUUCCGUAGGUGAACCUGCGGAAGGAUCAUUAACACAUGGGCGGCCCUAGCGAUGCAUCCCAUAUCCAACCCCAUGUGAACCGGGGACGUGCGGCGACUCCAGCUGCGUGUUUCAUUUUCGAACCAUCCUAGCCGAAACACAACUAAAGUUCCAUACAUACAUACAUGUUACAACUCUUAGCAAUGGAUAUCUUGGUUCUCACAACGAUGAAGAACGCAGCGAACUGCGAUACGUAGUGCGAAUUGCAGAAUUCAGUGAAUCAUCAAAUCUUUGAACGCAAGUUGC
rnacentral:rRNA from 1 species